CAGCAGCCGCGGUAAUACCGGCAGCCCGAGUGAUGGCCGCUAUUAUUGGGCCUAAAGCGUCCGUAGCCGGCCAGACAAGUCCGUUGGGAAAUCCACGCGCUCAACGCGUGGACGUCCGGCGGAAACUGUCUGGCUUGGGGCCGGAAGAUCUGAGGGGUACGUCCGGGGUAGGAGUGAAAUCCCGUAAUCCUGGACGGACCGCCGGUGGCGAAAGCGCCUCAGAAAGACGGACCCGACGGUGAGGGACGAAAGCUAGGGUCUCGAACCGGAUUAGAUACCCCCGUAGUCCCUGUCUCUUAUU
rnacentral:rRNA from 1 species